AUUGAACGCUGGCGGAAUGCUUUACACAUGCAAGUCGAACGGCAGCACGGGGGCAACCCUGGUGGCGAGUGGCGAACGGGUGAGUAAUACAUCGGAACGUGCCGAGUAGUGGGGGAUAACGCAGCGAAAGUUGUGCUAAUACCGCAUACGUACUGAGGUAGAAAGUGGGGGACCUUCGGGCCUCACGCUAUUCGAGCGGCCGACGUCUGAUUAGCUAGUAGGUGAGGUAAAGGCUCACCUAGGCGACGAUCAGUAGCGGGUCUGAGAGGAUGAUCCGCCACACUGGGACUGAGACACGGCCCAGACUCCUACGGGAGGCAGCAGUGGGGAAUUUUGGACAAUGGGCGAAAGCCUGAUCCAGCCAUGCCGCGUGUCUGAAGAAGGCCUUCGGGUUGUAAAGGACUUUUGUCAGGGAGGAAAUCCCUAGUGCUAAUAACACUGGGGGAUGACAGUACCUGAAGAAUAAGCACCGGCUAACUACGUGCCAGCCGCCGCGGUAA
rnacentral:rRNA from 1 species